AACCUUGGAGGGUACACGAGCGGCGAACGGGUGAGUAACACGUGGGUGAUCUGCCUUGCACUCUGGGAUAAGCCUGGGAAACUGGGUCUAAUACCGGAUAUGAGCCUGAACUGCAUGGUUCGGGUUGGAAAGAUUUAUCGGUGCGAGAUGGGCCCGCGGCCUAUCAGCUUGUUGGUGAGGUAACGGCUCACCAAGGCGACGACGGGUAGCCGGCCUGAGAGGGCGACCGGCCACACUGGGACUGAGACACGGCCCAGACUCCUACGGGAGGCAGCAGUGGGGAAUAUUGCACAAUGGGCGAAAGCCUGAUGCAGCGACGCCGCGUGAGGGAUGACGGCCUUCGGGUUGUAAACCUCUUUCGACAGGGACGAAGCGCAAGUGACGGUACCUGUAGAAGAAGCACCGGCUAACUACGUGCCAGCAGCCGCGGUAAUACGUAGGGUGCGAGCGUUGUCCGGAAUGACUGGGCGUAAAGAGCUUGUAGGCGGUCUGUCACGUCGGUCGUGAAAACUCACAGCUCAACUGUGGGCCUGCGGUCGAUACGGGCAGACUAGAGUACUUCAGGGGAGACUGGAAUUCCUGGUGUAGCGGUGAAAUGCGCAGAUAUCAGGAGGAACACCGGUGGCGAAGGCGGGUCUCUGGGAAGUAACUGACGCUGAGAAGCGAAAGCGUGGGUAGCGAACAGGAUUAGAUACCCUGGUAGUCCACGCCGUAAACGGUGGGUACUAGGUGUGGGUUUCCUUCCACGGGAUCCGUGCCGUAGCUAACGCAUUAAGUACCCCGCCUGGGGAGUACGGCCGCAAGGCUGCUAGCUAUUAACGUA
rnacentral:rRNA from 1 species